rnacentral:lncRNA from 1 species
GUGAUAUUCAAAGAGAAAAGGAGACCAAACAUAUCUUCUAUAUCCUUUCUGGAUAUAAAAAGGAUGAAAGGAUUAGAAAAUGAGCAUUUUUGCAACUAGUGAUGUAAUUAUCAAAUUCAGGCAAUUGAUGCCAAAACUAUGGGGUGGGGGGGUGUUAUAUAUUCAUAUAGACCCAAAGUCUCACUACACAGAGGAUGUGCUAAUUAUAAAAGGAGAAGUGGAAGGAUAGGGUGGACUCUUCAGAUGCACGGUCAUGUUUAGCAGCACAUUACCUGCCUCCUAGCAUAGUACAAAAAGGAGUACAAUCUCAUAUCUAGCAUUUUUUUGCCAAAAAUGUCUCCCUAAUAUAAUCAUAACAAAACUAUCACACAAAUGGAAAACAUGACCCAUUCUACAAAACAUCUGGCCUGAUCUCUUAAAAAAAAAAGCCAGUGUCAUGAAAGAAAAACAAAAAAGGCAGAGCAAUGAUUCUAUAUUAAAUGAGACAAAAAGACAUAACAACCAAAUAUAAUACAUGAAUUUUAUUUGAUCUCAGACUGAAAAAAAAAUGUAUAAAACGACAUUUAGGGAAAUUAAACCCAGAUUAUAUAUCAGGAUUAUUGUUAAUUAUCAUAGGUGUGAUCAUGCUAUCACAGUGAUUUGGGGGAAUGUUAUUAUUCUCAAAAAUGCAUGCUAAAGAAUCACAAUAUCAGCCGGGUAUAGUGGUGCAUGCCUGUAAUCCCAGCGGCUCAGGAGGCUGAGACAAGAGGAUCAAAGUUCAAAGCCAACCUCAGCAACUUAGUGAGGCUAUAAGCAACUCAGUGGUUGAGUGCCCCUGAGUUCAAUCCCCGGUACCAAAAAAAAAAAAAAAAUCACAAUAUCUACAAUUUUCAAAUAUUAACAACUGAUAAACCUAGGUGAAAGAUAUUACUGAUAGCUUGGAUUAAGUGUCCCCAAAAGUUCACAUGGUAAAAGACUUGCUCCCCAAGGUGGUGCUGUUGGGAGGCAGUGGAGCUGUUGGGAGGCGGGGCCCAGUGGGAGGUCUUUAGUACCAUUGGGUGUGAGCCCUCUAAGGGGAUGGUGGGACCCUGGCCUCUUCCUCUUCCUCUCUCUUUUGCAUUCCAGCCAUGAGAUAAGCAGAUUUACUCCACCAAGUUCUUCUAUCACAACAUGCUUCCUCACCACAGGCCAAAAACAACAGGCCCAAUCAGUCAUAGCCUGGAAACUCCAAAACUGUGAGCCAAAAUAACCUUUUUCUCUUUAUAAGUUGAUUGUUUGGAGUAUUUGUUACAGUGAUGGAAUGCUGACUAACACAUUUAUUUAUUUGUUAAUAUAGGUGUUAAUUAUUCUUUCAACUUUCCUGCAGGUUUGAAAUUUUUCAACUAAAACAUAGUAGGUGGAGACUUGAAUGUAGCCUCAACAUUCUUUUUUCUUCAUGAUAAAGCAUUCCUGUGUCUUUUUAUAUUAGUUUUUUCUUUCCAAAGGCCUCCACCCUGACUGUCGUGAAGUACUUGAAGCUGAAAACACACCUGUUCCAAGAAAAGAACUGUUUCCACUGCCCAGAAGUGUGCAGGGCUUCUCCCCACAGCUGUGUCACUGCAGCACUUCCUGCCUCAUCACCUCACAUGUGUGUCAUUAUAUCAUGGGUGUGCUCAGCUUGAGAAAUCUGCCACUGUCUCUUUGUAACUUAAAGAUGAAUCAUUCUCCCAACUUUCUAGAGAAAAAGAUAAUGCCAUGUGACUCUCUUGCCGCUGUGCAGUGAGACGGGCCCAUGCCCAGAGUCCUCUGCUCAGGUCAUUGGCAAAUUCCAGUAGAGGCUUCUGAAAUCUAUAGCCAGUGCCAUGUGGGUUGAGAAUAUUGCUGGACUAAAAAUUGGGAAUAUCUUUUGGAAAAUAACUUCACCUCUCAGGGCUUCAGCCUCUUUGUUGUAAAGGGAGUGACUAGAAUGAAAAAAGUUCUUUUGGGUUCCAACAGUUUAUCAUUGGAGUCCCUGCUUCCUUGGACAUAUGGAUCACUGUAACCCAAAAGGCAAAGACAGGGGUAAAUCCUUCUCCUUUACACCAGUCCUCAAACUUUUGGAUGCCUAGACAGUAAAAUAGCCCCUCAGCUCUUCCUCUUGUCACAGAAAUAUUUUUGUAACACCUAGCUCACCUCCAUACCUGAUCUAAGCUCAUCUUCCUUCUGAAGACAAAUGUGUCCACUGGCAACUCAGGAAACCAUGGAAACAAAAUUAAUUCCAUACGCUUUCAGCACACUAUGCAAAAAG